GAUGAACGCUGGCGGCGUGCUUAAUACAUGCAAGUCGAACGAAGUUAUCUCGCUGAGGCGAGCUUGCUCAAUUCUUGAGAUAACUUAGUGGCGGACGGGUGAGUAACGCGUGGGUAACCUGCCUUACACAGGGGGAUAACAGUUAGAAAUGACUGCUAAUACCGCAUAAGCGCACAGUAUCGCAUGAUACAGUGUGAAAAACUCCGGUGGUGUAAGAUGGACCCGCGUCUGAUUAGCUAGUUGGUGAGGUAACGGCCCACCAAGGCGACGAUCAGUAGCCGGCCUGAGAGGGUGAACGGCCACAUUGGGACUGAGACACGGCCCAAACUCC
rnacentral:rRNA from 1 species